rnacentral:rRNA from 1 species
CUAGUUGGUAAGGUAAUGGCUUACCAAGGCUACGAUGUUUAGGGGGUCUGAGAGGAUGAUCCCCCACACUGGUACUGAGACACGGACCAGACUCCUACGGGAGGCAGCAGUAGGGAAUAUUGGGCAAUGGAGGAAACUCUGACCCAGCCAUGCCGCGUGCAGGAUGACGGCCCUCUGGGUUGUAAACUGCUUUUAUACGGGAAGAAAAAAUACUACGUGUAGUAUACUGACGGUACCGUAAGAAUAAGGAUCGGCUAACUCCGUGCCAGCAGCCGCGGUAAUACGGAGGAUCCAAGCGUUGUCCGGAUUUAUUGGGUUUAAAGGGUGCGUAGGCGGAUCUUUAAGUCAGUGGUGAAAGCCUGCAGCUUAACUGUAGAACAGCCAUUGAAACUGAAGAUCUUGAAUAUGGUUAAAGUAGGCGGAAUGUAUCAUGUAGCGGUGAAAUGCUUAGAUAUGAUACAGAACACCGAUAGCGAAGGCAGCUUGCUGAACCAUUAUUGACGCUGAGGCACGAAAGCGUGGGGAGCGAACAGGAUUAGAUACCCCGGUAGUCCACGCCCUAAACGUUGAUUACUCGUUGUUGGCGAUAUACUGUCAGCGACCAAGCUAAAGCGUUAAGUAAUCCACCUGGGAAGUACGACCGCAAGGUUGAAACUCAAAGGAAUUGACG